AGUGGAAUGCGGUACUGCUUCACUUCGAAGAAGUUACCCUCUCUUUUCCUUCUAUCUGUCCUGUGCUGGGAGAGUCUGUUAAGGAACCAAGUGUCACAUACAAAAGCCUCUGUGGGGCCUAGUGCCAAUGAGGUCGCCGUUUAACAGAAUAAUGCUGAUGCCACCCGCCGAGACAAAUGUGUUUGUGUGCAGGAAGGGUGACAGGCUGUCCUUAGCGUGGCCCCCAGUGCCUCAUAUGAGCUGAGCUUGAUGUGAGCAAGAAUUUUGUUUUAUUUUCCCCUUAGAUUCUUGUUUUGGAAAAACUGGAAUUCCUCAAAAGCACUUGAUGACACUUCCUAAUGUUCCCCUGUCUUAUUUCCUCUUCCUCUCCCUUUCUUAUAUGGUAAAGGGUUUUCAAAGUGAGGGAAGGAACACAGGUUUGAAGGAGUAGAAAAUCACUUCAAGGACGGUACCUAAUGUUCCCCUCCUUGCCUUCUGUAGCUAUUCAAAAAACCAACAAAGGAGCAUCCUCUUCUAUUCAUUUUAUUUAUUUAUUUUUUCAGGUCAGUUUAGUUUAGUUCAGUUGUGGGCUUUUCAGUAGUUCACGGAAGAGCCUAGUCGUUAUUUCGCUUUUCUAGUGAUUAUUUGUUAUCUUUUUACAACUAAUAGAUCCUCAAUGUGGUUAUCAUUUUAAAUAAAUUUUGUACUAUCACUUGCUUCAUCCAGCAUAUUCUAAACAUGCUUUUCCUAGAAUGUGUAUUUUAAACAUACAUCUUUAACCUUACCUCUAACUGAAUUAAUGACUACAUGAAAUUGAUACAUUGAAGAACAUUACUUUAUGGUCUGUAGUUUAUAGUGCUUGUCAGUUUAAAGGUGCUUUCAACUAAAAUAUUACAUGUUUUGAAAGUAAAUGUUUCAUUCAACAGGAGUUGCUUCAGCCUGGCUGCUACCAGACACUGGCCGGGCAACCCUAGUGGGACCACAGGAUGCAGGACAAGUGCAGUGUCUUCCUCACGUAGUUACAGCCAGAGAGGGAAAGAGUCAAUGAAAACUAAAGAUUACUAAAAACUAUAGGUUCCAGGGCAGAAAGGCUUCACAGGGCUAUCUAACCUAAUCUAGAAGGAAUGAGGAAGGUUCCUCAGAGGGUAUGUUUCAGAUCUGAAUGGUGAAUAAACGAUAGCCAGAUAAAGAUGUGAGAAAGAAUGUUCCAGGCAGAGCAAAUACAUGCACAGAAGCCCAGAAGUGAGACAGAACAUGUUCAGGUAGCUGAGGCUCUUUGUUUGGAGGACAGAGGAGUGGAGGCAGUGUUGAGUUGCAAAAUGAGGCAUGUAGAGGGGAGAAAGUUUUCCUCAACCAUCUUAGAAUUUCUGACUAGGUCUGAAAAUUAGACUGGCAAAGAUGCACUAACAGGAGAAAAGCCUGCAAAUUGACCUAAUGUCAGUUCUGUGUGACAUGGGCACCUUCAUAAGGAAGUUCAGGUCGAAAGAAACAGCUGAGUAUUUUGAUGUGAAGUUUGAUGGAAGGUGGGCAGUCAUGUAAAUAUGAGGUGAGGAGUAUGAGGUAAGUGUAACAAACUCAUGGAAACUUAGAAAAGCUUGUUUGGAGUUUUCCUGGUUUCCCCCAUCUUGGAUAUAAGGAUGCUUGCUUCCUCUGGGUAUAAGGACCUCUUCAGUGAGGGCUUCAUCACCUGCUUCAGGGAUAUGGGUUGGGGGGAGGUCAAGGUGAUCUUCCUGCCUCUGCCAUAUUCUCAACCUCCUUCAGCUUAAAUUAUUCAAUAUGCCAAGGUGCAUAUUGUGCAGUAUUGUGUGCAGAACCCCAUUAGACUAAAGAGGGCCCUAUGUUUAGUCUUUUGUUUUUCAUUCUUAGGGAAAUGAGAAAUAGCAUUGAAGAGAUUUUGUCAGGGAAGUGAUACAUAAAUUAAACUUGCCUUUUAGAAAGAUCACUCUGGCUGUAUAUGGGUCACAGUGGAACAAAACUGGACAUGAUGAGACUAGUUAGGGAACUUUCAGCAACAAAGACAGAGAUGUAAACUGACAGGGACUCCAUGACAAUGGGCUAGAGAUUGGUGGACAGAUUCAAGUGGUUUUGUUUUUUUCCUUUUAUAUAGGUUGGGUUGGAAAGAUCAUUUUCUCUCUUUCCUUAAUUUUUUAUUCACAUUAACAACCUUAAGUAAAUUCAAGUAUCUAAAAGGAAUUUCUCAUAAAUCUCACACUUUAAAGCAUUUAAAAUAUUUCUGUUGAAUAAAGCACACUUACUAACAUAGACUUUAUUACCACUUAACCAUUUAAAUCCAUAGAAAUAACUUUAUCUCUCCUUUGCAAUAGAACCUGUCCAUGCUGAUCUUAAGGAUUUUUAUGACAUCAAAUGAAAUAAUUUAUAACACAAUGCUUUGAAAAUUAGAAUAUGCAAUAUACUAUAAGUGAUUAUGAUUAUAAAACAAUUAUUAGUUAAUAUAUGGAAUUCUUUUUUCAUGGCCUUAUUUUCCUGGUUGUGAAAUUAAUACAUGUGAACUACAAACAAAACAACAAAAGUAAGUACACUAACACAUAAAGAAGAAAUAAAUAAUUCCCGUAGCCUUUUCUCCUACAGAGUGGUACAUUUAAAGACAUGUAUAGAAAAAUAAUUUGCUAUGUUCACAUCAGCAUAUUUAUAAAUUUCUACAUAGCUUUCUGAGUGUAUCAACAUAAAAAUAUGAUUAUAUUUUGUAUCAUGGAUAGAUAUUAUUUUGAGUUCCGUAUUUUUCAUCUUUUUAAAUACUUUGCCACAUAAUGACAUAAUCUUCACUUAAUGCUUCCUAUUAAAUACCUUUUUUAGCAAAGAGAACUACUACUAAUUGAGCUUUUAUAUUUUUUUUGCUUUCAUAAAAAAUACUUUAAAAAAUAAUUGUGAGUAUUAAACUUUAAAAACUUUCUUGAUAAGAAUGUCAAGAAAUAACCAGGUCAGAGGUCACUGCACUUCAAAUGCUAUCAAUCUUAUUUGAGAAUCUCAGUUGCCUCAUGUAAAAUUAUUCAUUUAAGAUUCUAUUAGCAUCAAACCCCUGUGCUAAGCACUAUGAAGAAUCCAGAUUCAAAGUUAAAUCUUGCCAUUAGUAGGUUACAGUUUAUUAGGGAAGAAUAAUAAGUAUAUAUAUUUUUCACUUGAUUAAUACAGCUUUACAAUAUACUAAUUUUUUAAUGGAAGAGUAUUUACAUUAGUUUUAUUUACUUGAAUUAUAAUGAAUGGACUUUUGCAGAAGGCUUCUGUAAUUACUGAAUAAUACAAAUAUAGGUAUCUACAUGGAAAUCUAGAAAGCAGAACAAUUAUAGCAUAGGAUAUUUUCUGGAAGAUAAAUGAAGAAAAAAGAAAAUAUUUGCAAGGGUAUACCAUCUAGCCAAAUGGAUAAUAUCACUAAUGCUUUUCCUAAAAUCCAAGUCCAACUAUUUAAGGACCCUUUACAAAUUAGAGAAAUUAAAACAAAAUAGAAAUCGUGUCAGUCCUUUCACAAACUAAGUAAUGGAUGAGCAUUGAAUAUCCUAGAAGUUCUUCAAGUAUAGUUGAAUUUAUGUAUAAACAUAUUCCUUGUUAUUUGGGGGAUGGUAAAAUGAAUUCUAGUGAAAGAACUGUGCAAGUUCAGUGAUGCACUGCAUGCUUCAGAAUAUUAAGUCAGUUUUGUAAAUAGUUUAGAAGCCCUGGUCCAAGUAAAGAUAGCCCCCAAGCACUGUGACUUUAUGAGGUUAAUCUCUACUGAUAAUGAUUAUGAACUGUCAGCUAAGCAAGUUUCUGAUAGAUGGCACUUAGAUUUCUGCUCACAGCUUCACUCUAUUUUUAAAAACUGCUGAUCCAUAUGAAUUAAACAGAGCAAUGAGGGAGAAUAGAUUCCCUAGACUGAAUUCCAUCCAACAAAGAAAAACUGUUAUAAAACAUGACAAACCUGGGAAGAAAGUCACAUUUUCAAAAUCUGGGAGGUAAAGUAAAAGAAGGAACCCUGGCCAUUCUGUCUUAUUCCCUAGAAUUUGGAAAAGUGGUUUAAAAAAAUUACAGAAAAGUUAAAAUUUUUAAGUCAUAGAUUCAAAAAGAGAAUAUGACAGAAGAGAAAGGAACAAUUCUAAAAAGUAAAAAGAGUGAAACAGUUAAAGAAUCUGAUUAUGCCUGAGGACCAGGGACUAUGAAAGGCUUAGACAUAAAGAGAGAUGCAAUCAGAGAUGAAUACAGAAGAAACAGUGUCCAGGAGGGCACAUUUUAGGAAAAAGUAAGGUUUUUGGAAAAAAACAAGUGAAUGACUUCCAAAUAAUAACAAAGUUAAAUGGAAGUGGGUGUGAUGAGCUGCUUUUGGAAGCAGUACAGUUAGGAAUUAUAGGCUCUAAUAAAUUAGUAAAGUGAAUCUCUAGUGGAAACCAUGUUAUGGAAACAGAAAACAAAAUUACUUCAUUUCUAUUUCAUUCCUGUUCUCUCCAUCAAGAAGAAUGAAAGUAUAAGUUGAAAGAUAUAUGAAAAUAUAAAGAAACAGUAACUAAAAUCCAAUAUAUUUGAAGAGAUAACAAAACAACAGCUAUCCACUUCCAUAAAAAGGGAAGAUUGGGUGUAUUCCUUUUUCCGAUGAGCAUUGCGAAACCUUUCCUUUACCAGCCCCAAAUUAGUGCUUACAAAGCCCUAGUUGAAGCCCUUAAUUCUAAACUGACUUACAUAGUAAGGAAGAUUCACUAACUUCUGCUCACCCAGGAGAAAUUCAGGCCAUUUUUCUUUCCUAGGUGAACAUUAAAAUUAGCUCCAGAGAGGAUUUUAGGGAAUACUACAACAAUGACAUAUGUUUCCAAAAUAGUCAACCUCUGUAAUUUCUGGUACACACCAUAUGCAAUCACCAAAUACUGUUCAACUCUUGUGAACGGCCUUUUAGAGAGGAUGGAAGAGGUAGAGGAUUCACCCGGACCGAGUUAGUAUGAUUUUGAUCUCAAGGACUGGCAGGUAGUUUUAGGCUUUCCUUUGAAAUGUUGUGACAGAGGCUUAAUAGAUAGUCUGUAUUGAACCAUUUAAAUUAUUUUUUUUGUAUUGACAGUUUCUUAGGAUGAAACUGAGUGAUCAGAUACUUUCUUUAAUAUGUCUCAACUCUCCUAAUCAAAAGAACAAAGAAGUUGGCUAAAGUUGGAAUAAUUCAGAGUUAUCGAGGAUAGGGAUUUUUAAUCCAUAUCAGGGUACUUUUUUUUUUUACAAUUGUGCCUCAUAACUUACUAAAAGCUGGUACCUGACCUAAUCUCCAGGACCCAGGAAGAUAGAUUUCCAGAUGGUUCAGAAAAGAGCUGUUCGUAUCUUUGGAACUGUUUGAAGAAUGUUUCAGAACUAUGUUAAACACCCUAGGAUUGAAUAGAAUUCCCAUUAUGUGUAGGCUAGAUUUCCUGGAAAGUGAACACACCAGCUUGGAAGACUAAAAUGCUUAGUACUUAUUCAGCCUAAACAUUUUUAUACCAAUUAAAAUUUCCAAUUGGUUGCAUUUUCUGUCCACAUUAUCCACUUUCUUAAUCACUGGAGGCCUGAAUUAGCAAAUGCAGCAAAUUAGCAAAUACACACCACUUUUCUAUAGGUCACCCAAUUUAUUUAGGGGUGGUCAUCAUCAAAAGGAAAAUACCAUGUUUUCUUUUUCAUAAUGCCAUUAAGUGGCCAUCCAUUGAAUACCUCGGAUUUUUUCCCCUUUGUAUUUUUAGUUAAGAGACCAACUCUGUUUGCUAUUUAAUGAUUAAUCUUGUCCUUUUUACCAUCUAUGCCAUAUACACCUGUUUCAACUGCUUAGUAGAGGCUAUUAAGGUCCUUUAUUAUUGGCUGAUUGGAGGGGCCAUCUUUGGGGAUUAGCAACUACAGAAGUUGGGAAGCUGCAUUCUCAGUUUGAUAGGUUCUACAGAAUCUUGGAUAAGUGAAGAGGUGAAAAUUGCAAGCAGAGGGAAAUCUACGCUAAAGACGUUUUAUAAGCAAUUUAUUAAAUUGACUAUUAUAAAUUUCAGAGGAAGUCCCUGGGCACAGUUCUUUGGGUUUCUAAUAAUUGUAUACUUGGGAAAACAGUUGAGCAUACAUACAAUCAUUUCCUUCCAUGGAUUUUACUUUGGCUAUCAUUGGGUAUGGCAGCUUGAUGGCCAGGUGCCUUCCACCUAGAUUGUGUACUCUUGUACCUUAUUAGAGAGGGUGGGCAAUGCACAUUUAAAUUUCUAAGAAACUUUUUAGAAAAAAAAGAACUUUAUACCUUUGUUUAAUGUCUCUGAUUUAUUUGCUUGCAGAAGCCAUUUAUGGAAUAAAUGCCUGAAAUAUUCUCUAGAAAACAUGUAGGGAACUUAUAGGAAUAUUAUCUUCUAAUGGUUAGAGCCUUUAUUGUAAAAUCAUCUCAAGAAGUUUAGGUAGCCAUGAGCUCUUGACAGAGUAAAUUUCAAUUCCACGUGGCUUAAGAGGCCACCCCCUUUUGAAUUUACACCUUAAUAAUUUGAUAAAGCUUUUCAAUGAUACAGGUGAAUGCUCCCCUACUAUAGCAAAUAAGAAAGCAAAUACUAUCCUCCACUGGAUGACAAGGCCCUGCUUUCAUAUUCCAAGUACUUCCUGCAUUUUUUGUCCCCAAAGGAAUGCUUAUCCCCAAGCCAAAAUUAUCUUCUGGCAAGAUUCUCUUCAGCCUGUAGAAAGGCUACGUUAAGAUUUCACCUACGGUAAGUCUAAGACUUGAACUGACUCUUAGAAAAGAGAAGGAAAUUUAGAGAAGUGCUUCUCAAAUUAACUGUGGUGAAGAACAUGUCGUUUUCUUUCUAUCUGCUAAGGAUCAUUAAGUGAUCCUCCUGCAUGACCAGUCUCAUACCACAUGAAAUUACCACAAAGACUGGACAAAAUCUUGUGAAUCUGUAAUAAACAAUUUAUGGACUGGGCAUCAGCCCACACUUUAACUAGAAUUACUUUAAAGAUAAAAAUAAUUGCCCAAGGUCUCCCAAAUUAUGUUCCAUGAUAUACUAGAUUAGAUCAGCAUUUCUUCUUGAAGGAUUAGUAUGUGAUUAGUAGGCUCAUGGUGUCCUUUCUCAUUUAAAAAUAUAUAGUCUAUUUAAUAUUCAGGUAUUGUAUGAAGUAUAUGAACAUAAUUAUAGAAAUCAGGCUAAAUGCAGCAGAGUAUGAUUUUUGCUUGCUUCUAACAUUUUUAGAACUCUGAAGUAGUAUGUAGUUAGCUAUUCUGUUGUUUUAUUAAGUGAUUAUUUCUGUUCUAAAUUGUAUAUUCAAAGCCAUAACUACAGUUAAUGUUGCCAUGUAACUGUGGACAUCUUUUAUUACAUUUUAUAAAAACUGUAAAGAUUUUUCUUUCACAGUUUUCUGCUUUCUUAAAACUUCUAUUAAAAUAUUGUCACCAAUCUCUUAUAUUCUCAUAUAUAAUUAUUUCUCAAUUAUACAAAUGGAGCUGAGUUAAAGUGUGAAAUGGGCAGUUAUGCCAUAGCAUGGACAGUUAGUGCCUCUUCCCGUCCUUUGGAUUAGCUACAUUUGUCCUUUCUUUAAAAUAAUCAAGGAUUUGAAUAUGAUACUACAUAUUUUAAUGAAAUAAUUUCUUAAAACACCUAGUUUCUGAAUCAAGACUUUCAUUUUAUUGUGCUUCAUGAUUGAGAGGUGAUACACAAUGGGCCAAUAUAAUAGUUCCUUUAAAGAAAAAGAUGAAAUUGUUUCAGUCACACAUAUGCACAUACAUAUACCUCAUGAUACAUCUUGAAAAAAGAA